rnacentral:lncRNA from 1 species
UCACCGAGAGUGGGCGGGGAAAGAGCUGGCGGCUCUGUGCUGCCAUCCUGCCCUUGUACUGCGCCAUGAUGAUUGCCCUGUCCCGCAUGUGCGACUACAAGCAUCACUGGCAAGCAGUGGGAAGGAGUCAGCCAAGCAGGAGAAUGGCUGCGCCUAUUUGCUCUUGAGAGAACAUCACCAGCUGCUGUGUCCCAAGUCCAGUUCCAGAGCAGCGUACUGGGCCCCUGGUCUACAUGCACUGAAACUUAUGCUGCCAUCACGGACAUGUCUAAAAUAAAAGAGCUUUUCUUUUAUUUGUACUUCUUUUCCUGCUUUGCUAUUGUGGAUUAAUAAAAUUACAUGCAUGAAAUUA